UGCGGAAGGAUNAUUGUCGA
rnacentral:rRNA from 1 species